CCUCCGCUCGCGCCCGGCGCGGCGGGGCCGUCACGUGACCCGGCGGGCCGCGCGGGAGGGGGGAAGAAGGGUCCCGGUGUCCGGCCGGCCCCGGGGAUGCGGUGGCGGCUGCUGUGGCUGCUCAGCGCCGCCGCCGCCGGCUGCUGCUGGGCCCUCGCCGCGGGCAAGACGCUGCGGGGCGGCUUCGCCAGCGCCGCCGCCCGCCGGGAGCCGUGGCAGCCCGUGGCGCGCUUCCAGUUCCACGGUGACCAUGCUGUUCUGUGUGUCAGAAUCAAGAACGUAGCAGUAGCUGUGGCAAAAGCAGCUAGACUUCACCUCUUUCAAGCACAGGAAUGGCAGAAGCUGGAGAGCAAUGUCCAAGAUCACAGCUGUACAGAGAAGUUCUCUAAAGCUCAGCUGACAAUGACUGUGAACCACACAGAGCAAAAUCUGACAGUGUCCCAGAUUCCUUAUCCGGAAACAUGGUAUGUGUUUUAUGUAGACAAGUUUACCUGCGAAGAGAAUUAUUCUGAAUCCGAGGAUAUUCAGUUUGAAAUGAUCUUACUAAACCCAGAUGCAGAAGGGAAUCCAUUAGAUCACUUUAGCGCAGGGGAAUCUGGAUUACAUGAAUUCUUUUUCCUGCUUGUCCUAGCAUACUUCAUAACUGCAUGCAUAUAUGCACAAUCCCUGUGGGAAACAAUUAGGAAGCGUGGACCUAUGCAUGGUGUAUUAAAGGUGUUGACAAUUGCAUUACUGUUGCAGGCUGGUUCAGCAUUUGCCAACUAUCUGCAUUUCUCAAGUUAUUCUAGAGAUGGGAUAGGAGCUCCUUUUAUGGGAAGUCUGGCAGAAUUGUGUGACAUAAUCUCACAGAUACAAAUGCUGUACUUAUUGUUGAGUCUGUGUAUGGGUUGGACAAUAGGCAGAAUGAAGAAAUCUCAUGGCAGACCUCUUCAGUGGGAUUCCAGUCCAGCGUCUACUGGCAUUGCUGUAGUAGUUGUUGUUACACAGAGCUUUUUGUUAAUUUGGGAGCAGUUUGAAGACACAAAUCACCACAGCUACCAUUCUCACCAUGGCUUGGCGAGCGGGCUGCUCAUUGGCCUCAGAGUCUGCCUAGCUCUGUCCCUGGCUGCUGGGCUGUACCAGAUUAUCGCAGUGGAGAGAAGCACACUGAAAAGGGAGUUCUACAUCACCUUUGCCAAAGCCUGCAUUCUCUGGUUUCUGUGCCACCCAUGUCUUGCAACCAUUGCUGUAAUAUUCAGAGAAUAUCAAAGAGAAAAGAUUAUUACCAUAGGUGUUAUCCUCUGUCAGUGCAUCUCCAUGGUUAUCCUCUACAGACUUUUUCUAUCUCAUAGUCUAUAUUGGGAAGUAUCUUCACUGUCAUCAGUGACAUUGCCACUAACAAUAUCCUCUGGACAUAAAAAUCGACAUCACUUCUGAGAUGUUUAGGAAGAAUACAUUACGUAAUAAAUGUGCAAUAAUGACUUGAAUAUACAGAUGCACGCCACAACAAAUCAUGGUUUGUUAAUGUAAGCAUGAAACAGAAGGUGUUGUCUUUUGCAUCUUUCCCACAUUGCUCCAUGAGUUAACAGGUAACAUUAGUUUCCUAGUUUGGCAUUGGAUCCAGUUACUUGAAAAUAAAUUUCAAUUUUGCUAUUAAUGUACUGUAGCAAUGAAGUAUCACUUUCUCAUGGGGAGUGAUAGAAAGGGUCUCUUAGCAGAUGCCUGGGUCUCUUAGCAGAUAAGCAUUGCUCACCAGUUUGGUAUUAUUAAAUAAUGAAUGCAUGCUGUAGGAGUAUGUCACUAUGACUGCAGUAAUAUUCAGUUAAUUUGGUGCAGAAUAUCUUGGGGAGGUGGGAAAUCUUCAAGUAUGACUAAUGGACAAAGCUUCAUACUUAACCUGUACUCUGUGUUGUAACUUAGUGCCUCUGAUCAUGCCUGAGGAGUGGUUCAAGUAUGUAAAAGUCCUCUAACUUACAUCUCCUGGGAGAACAGCUGAUAACACCUUGCCUUUUUCAUGCUUAUCCACACUGUUACCUAUUCUGUCUAUUUGAUUUCAUAACUUCAUCUUGAAAAAAUAGCUUUCAGCCUUCUUCCAGUUGUCCUCAGUCUGUGCAUCCCAACUUGAAAACCAUACUUCUAAAAUGUACUGUCACCCAAAAAAAAAAAAAAAAACUCAUUUUCUGUCACACACUGAGGCUUUUGUGUGCAUCAAGGAGUGCUAUGCCCUACAUCAAGACUGCAUUAGGUGACAGCAGUGGACAGAAGCACUCCUCCAGUGCCCCCAUAGCCCCGGUGUGUACGAGGUGUGGGUUUGUGCCUGCUGAAAGCUGCCGCGCACCUGGGGGAUAUUUGGGGAGAACUUCAGCAGUUCCAGGCUCCCUAUGCCUCACCUCUGCCAGGGGCUGGAGCAGGGUCCCCCUGAAGGCAGCACUGCCCCUGCUGACCAUGGUGAGCAGCACUGUUGAGGUCAGAGGACAACAUCUCACCUGAGAGUUUCUGUGCAUUGUCCAGUUCUGUUUUAAAUAAAGUUGGGGUUACCGUGUCUGCUCAUUC